UGGGGAAUAUUGGACAAUGGGCGAAAGCCUGAUCCAGCCAUGCCGCGUGUGUGAAGAAGGUCUUCGGAUUGUAAAGCACUUUAAGUUGGGAGGAAGGGCAGUAAGCGAAUACCUUGCUGUUUUGACGUUACCGACAGAAUAAGCACCGGCUAACUCUGUGCCAGCAGCCGCGGUAAUACAGAGGGUGCAAGCGUUAAUCGGAAUUACUGGGCGUAAAGCGCGCGUAGGUGGUUCGUUAAGUUGAAUGUGAAAGCCCCGGGCUCAACCUGGGAACUGCAUCGAAAACUGGCGAGCUAGAGUAGGGCAGAGGGUGGUGGAAUUUCCUGUGUAGCGGUGAAAUGCGUAGAUAUAGGAAGGAACACCAGUGGCGAAGGCGACCACCUGGGCUCAUACUGACACUGAGGUGCGAAAGCGUGGGGAGCAAACAGG
rnacentral:rRNA from 1 species